AUGAAGGCUCAGUUUCCCGGAGGAAGCAGUGGCUCAUUGGCAACUUCUGCUGCAGGAAGGGAGGCAAUGCCAGGCACAGCCACAGGAGAUGAGCUUGCUAGGAAGAUUUCUCCAUUAGAUUGGCUGAAGAAAAUUUUGAAGCCUUUGGAGCCUCGUGCAGAUGUGUCUGCAGGGAGGACUUUUCUUGUUCCUUUGCUGGUUCCUUCACCGAAGCCAGGCUCUCAUCGCAGGGGUCCUCCAACAGGAAAGUACAAAUCUACAGCACAGAAGGAAGCUCAUGAGCCAUCUGAAUACAUGAGGCAAAGGAC